rnacentral:rRNA from 1 species
CCUACGGGGGGCAUCAGUGGGGAAUAUUGGACAAUGGGGGGAACCCUGAUCCAGCCAUGCCGCGUGUGUGAAGAAGGCCCUCGGGUUGUAAAGCACUUUCAAUGAGGAAGAACGCCUGGUGGUUAAUACCCAUCAGGAAAGACAUCACUCACAGAAGAAGCACCGGCUAACUCCGUGCCAGCAGCCGCGGUAAUACGGAGGGUGCGAGCGUUAAUCGGAAUUACUGGGCGUAAAGCGCGCGUAGGUGGCUUGAUAAGCCGGUUGUGAAAGCCCCGGGCUCAACCUGGGAACGGCAUCCGGAACUGUCAAGCUAGAGUGCAGGAGAGGAAGGUAGAAUUCCCGGUGUAGCGGUGAAAUGCGUAGAGAUCGGGAGGAAUACCAGUGGCGAAGGCGGCCUUCUGGACUGACACUGACACUGAGGUGCGAAAGCGUGGGUAGCAAACAGGAUUAGAUACCCGAGUAGUC